rnacentral:misc_RNA from 1 species
AUUUCCCGCCUCUUUCUCUCCCACAGUCGCAGGGUCGGAGAUACUCUGUAUUGAAGGAUCAGAGGUAGAAGUAGGAGAUGUUGUGGGUGGACAAGUACAGACCCAAAACCCUAGACCAGGUUAUGGUCCACGAAGACAUUGCCCAAAACCUCAAGAAGCUGGUCACUGAACAAGACUGCCCCCAUUUGCUUUUCUAUGGCCCCUCCGGUUCUGGCAAGAAAACCCUAAUCAUGGCUCUUCUUCGUCAGAUUUUUGGUUCCAGCGCUGAAAAGGUGAAGGUGGAAAAUCGGACUUGGAAAAUCGAUGCGGGAAGUAGAACUAUCGAUUUGGAGCUUACUACAUUAUCAAGCACAAAUCACAUAGAGCUGAGUCCUAGUGAUGUAGGCUUCCAGGACAGGUAUGUUGUACAAGAGAUAAUCAAAGACAUGGCUAAGACUCGUCCAAUUGACAUAAAAGGGAAAAAAGGAUAUAAAGUACUAGUGCUCAAUGAGGUUGAUAAGCUUUCAAGAGAAGCACAAUAUUCUCUUCGUAGAACUAUGGAGAAGUACAGUGCCUCCUGCCGGCUGAUUCUAUGCUGCAAC